GACGAACGCUGGCGGCGCGCCUAACACAUGCAAGUCGAACGAGCGAGAGAGAGCUUGCUUUCUCGAGCGAGUGGCGAACGGGUGAGUAACGCGUGAGGAACCUGCCUCAAAGAGGGGGACAACAGUUGGAAAUGACUGCUAAUACCGCAUAAGCCCACGGGUCGGCAUCGACCAGAGGGAAAAAGGAGCCAAUCCGCUUUGAGAUGGCCUCGCGUCCGAUUAGCUAGUUGGUGAGGUAACGGCCCACCAAGGCAACGAUCGGUAGCCGGACUGAGAGGUUGAACGGCCACAUUGGGACUGAGACACGGCCCAGACUCCUACGGGAGGCAGCAGUGGGGAAUAUUGCACCAAUGGGGGAAACCCUGAUGCAGCGACG
rnacentral:rRNA from 1 species